UCCCUACAGUUCAAUAGGUGCUUCGUUUG
rnacentral:piRNA from 1 species